GCGCGGGUAGCUCAGGGGUAGAGCACCGGUUUUACACACCGGCGGUCGGGGGUUCGAAACCCUCCCCGCGCACCA
rnacentral:tRNA from 1 species